UACGAAGGGGGCUAGCGUUGCUCGGAAUGACUGGGCGUAAAGGGCGCGUAGGCGGUUUGUACAGUCAGGUGUGAAAUUCCCGGGCUCAACCUGGGGGCUGCACUUGAUACGUAUGAACUGGAGUGGGGAAGAGGGUCGUGGAAUUCCCAGUGUAGAGGUGAAAUUCGUAGAUAUUGGGAAGAACACCGGUGGCGAAGGCGGCGACCUGGUCCUUGACUGACGCUGAGGCGCGAAAGCGUGGGGAGCGAACAGG
rnacentral:rRNA from 1 species